rnacentral:rRNA from 1 species
GGGUUGUGAGGUUAAGCGACUAAGCGUACACGGUGGAUGCCCUGGCAGUCAGAGGCGAUGAAGGGCGUGCUAAUCUGCGAUAAGCGCCGGUAAGGUGAUAUGAACCGUUAUAACCGGCGAUACCCGAAUGGGGAAACCCAGUGUGAUUCGUCACACUAUCAUUAACUGAAUCCAUAGGUUAAUGAGGCGAACCGGGGGAACUGAAACAUCUAAGUACCCCGAGGAAAAGAAAUCAACCGAGAUUCCCCCAGUAGCGGCGAGCGAACGGGGAGGAGCCCAGAGCCUGAAUCAGCAUGUGUGUUAGUGGAAGCGUCUGGAAAGGCGCGCGAUACAGGGUGACAGCCCCGUACACAAAAGCGCAUGUGCUGUGAGCUCGAUGAGUAGGGCGGGACACGUGGUAUCCUGUCUGAAUAUGGGGGGACCAUCCUCCAAGGCUAAAUACUCCUGACUGACCGAUAGUGAACCAGUACCGUGAGGGAAAGGCGAAAAGAACCCCGGCGAGGGGAGUGAAAAAGAACCUGAAACCGUGUACGUACAAGCAGUGGGAGCACAGGUUUACCUGUGUGACUGCGUACCUUUUGUAUAAUGGGUCAGCGACUUAUAUUCUGUAGCAAGGUUAACCGUAUAGGGGAGCCGAAGGGAAACCGAGUCUUAACCGGGCGUUAAGUUGCAGGGUAUAGACCCGAAACCCGGUGAUCUAGCCAUGGGCAGGUUGAAGGUUGGGUAACACUAACUGGAGGACCGAACCGACUAAUGUUGAAAAAUUAGCGGAUGACCUGUGGCUGGGGGUGAAAGGCCAAUCAAACCGGGAGAUAGCUGGUUCUCCCCGAAAGCUAUUUAGGUAGCGCCUCGUGAAUUCAUCUCCGGGGGUAGAGCACUGUUUCGGCUAGGGGGCCAUCCCGGCUUACCAACCCGAUGCAAACUGCGAAUACCGGAGAAUGUUAUCACGGGAGACACACGGCGGGUGCUAACGUCCGUCGUGAAGAGGGAAACAACCCAGACCGCCAGCUAAGGUCCCAAAGUCAUGGUUAAGUGGGAAACGAUGUGGGAAGGCCCAGACAGCCAGGAUGUUGGCUUAGAAGCAGCCAUCAUUUAAAGAAAGCGUAAUAGCUCACUGGUCGAGUCGGCCUGCGCGGAAGAUGUAACGGGGCUAAACCAUGCACCGAAGCUGCGGCAGCGACGCUGAUGCGUUGUUGGGUAGGGGAGCGUUCUGUAAGCCUGCGAAGGUGGCCUGUGAGGGUUGCUGGAGGUAUCAGAAGUGCGAAUGCUGACAUAAGUAACGAUAAAGCGGGUGAAAAGCCCGCUCGCCGGAAGACCAAGGGUUCCUGUCCAACGUUAAUCGGGGCAGGGUGAGUCGACCCCUAAGGCGAGGCCGAAAGGCGUAGUCGAUGGGAAACGGGUUAAUAUUCCCGUACUUGGUGUUACUGCGAAGGGGGGACGGAGAAGGCUAUGUUGGCCGGGCGACGGUUGUCCCGGUUUAAGCGUGUAGGUGUGUGUUCCAGGUAAAUCCGGUUCACUUUAACACUGAGGCGUGACGACGAGGCACUACGGUGCUGAAGCAACAAAUGCCCUGCUUCCAGGAAAAGCCUCUAAGCAUCAGGUAACAUCAAAUCGUACCCCAAACCGACACAGGUGGUCAGGUAGAGAAUACCAAGGCGCUUGAGAGAACUCGGGUGAAGGAACUAGGCAAAAUGGUGCCGUAACUUCGGGAGAAGGCACGCUGACACGUAGGUGAAGUGAUUUACUCAUGGAGCUGAAGUCAGUCGAAGAUACCAGCUGGCUGCAACUGUUUAUUAAAAACACAGCACUGUGCAAACACGAAAGUGGACGUAUACGGUGUGACGCCUGCCCGGUGCCGGAAGGUUAAUUGAUGGGGUCAGCGCAAGCGAAGCUCCUGAUCGAAGCCCCGGUAAACGGCGGCCGUAACUAUAACGGUCCUAAGGUAGCGAAAUUCCUUGUCGGGUAAGUUCCGACCUGCACGAAUGGCGUAAUGAUGGCCAGGCUGUCUCCACCCGAGACUCAGUGAAAUUGAACUCGCUGUGAAGAUGCAGUGUACCCGCGGCAAGACGGAAAGACCCCGUGAACCUUUACUAUAGCUUGACACUGAACAUUGAGCCUUGAUGUGUAG